CUCAUUCUACCUUGAGAUCAUAUACUGGUAAUUUAGUUGACGUGCGAUAGUAGUUGUGAGCGGAAUCUCUUAUAUAAGUUUUACCAAGGAGAAUGAUAUGUGAUGAGCUGACUGUCUCUGCCGCCUAACUGACAAGGUUUUAUUAUUAGGAAGAAGAAGCUAGAAGCAAAGGUGAAGAAGCUGGAAGAGGCUGCUGUCAAGCAAACUCAGGACUUCAAGCAAUUGAGAAAUGAAAAGAAAAUACUUGAGAAGGAGUUUAAGAAGACACAGGAAAGGCUUGAUGAAUUUUCCAAACAGAAAAAUGAGAAGGAGUUGAGGCACAUUGGAACACAAAUCUCGAGUGACUCACACGGAAGCAUAGAUAAAAAGAAGGUGAAAGUUCUCCUGAAAGAGCUGUGGCUCUGUGUGAACACUGCGCACAGACUAUCAGGGGAGAGCAGCAGACGCAUCCCAG